GACGAACGCUGGCGGCGUGCUUAACACAUGCGAGUCGAACGGAAAGGCCUGCUCUCUCUUGUGGUGUGCGGGUACUCGAGUGGCGAACGGGUGAGUAACACGUGAGUGAUUUGACCCUAACUUGGGUAUAGGCCUGGGAAACUGGGUCUAAUUCUCGAUAGGACCGCAGGGUGGUGCCGGGGGUGGAAAAUGAGUUUCUAGUGGUUGGGGAUGAGCCCGCGGCCUAUCAGCUUGUUGGGAGGGUAAUGGUCUACCAAGGCGGUGACGGGUAGCCGGCAUGAGAACGUGGACGGCCACACUGAGACUGGGACCCGGCCCAGACGCCGACGAGAGGCAGCAGUGGGGACUGUUGCACGAGAAGCCGGACCCUGCGGCAGCGCCUCCGCGUGGGGGAUGACCGGCUUCUAGUGCUCUACUCCUUGCGGCCGCGAAAAAGGCACCUGAUUAAGCACGUGUUGACGGUAGUGUGACAAGAAGCACCGGCUAACUACGUG
rnacentral:rRNA from 1 species